rnacentral:rRNA from 1 species
GACGAACGCUGGCGGCGUGCCUAAUACAUGCAAGUUGAGCGCUGAAGGUUGGUACUUGUACCAACUGGAUGAGCAGCGAACGGGUGAGUAACGCGUGGGGAAUCUGCCUUUGAGCGGGGGACAACAUUUGGAAACGAAUGCUAAUACCGCAUAAAAACUUUAAACACAAGUUUUAAGUUUGAAAGAUGCAAUUGCAUCACUCAAAGAUGAUCCCGCGUUGUAUUAGCUAGUUGGUGAGGUAAAGGCUCACCAAGGCGAUGAUACAUAGCCGACCUGAGAGGGUGAUCGGCCACAGUGGGACUGAGACACGGCCCAAACUCCUACGGGAGGCAGCAGUAGGGAAUCUUCGGCAAGGGACGAAAGUCUGACCGAGCAACGCCGCGUGAGUGAAGAAGGUUGUCGGAUCGUAAAACUCUGUUGGUAGAGAAGAACGUUGGUGAGAGUGGAAAGCUCAUCAAGUGACGGUAACUACCCAGAAAGGGACGGCUAACUACGUG